UAUACGGUUCUAUACGGUUACUGAAGGCGAAACAGUUCAGACGUUAUAUUUCCUGUGGUAACUUCUGCUAGCUCGGCUGGUGAACUUUUACCCUGAGCACUAGGACUUUGGUACUUGAGUCGCUAGACCCCCGUCAAUGCAGGAUAUUUUGCAGAGUUGCUUUUGGUAUUACAGGAUAUGCUAUCUACCUAAAACUAGGAAUUCUCCUAUGAUUAAACGCACUAUUACAGACCGUAGAU